UGGUGGCGGGCGCCUGUGGUCCCAGC
rnacentral:piRNA from 1 species